rnacentral:ncRNA from 1 species
GCAGACUCUCACUAUUGGAGCGGCCGAUAUCGGAUUAGCUAGUUGGUGGGGUAAAGGCUCACCAAGGCAACGAUCCGUAGCUGGUUUGAGAGGACGACCAGCCACACUGGGACUGAGACACGGCCCAGACUCCUACGGGAGGCAGCAGUGGGGAAUUUUGGACAAUGGGGGAAACCCUGAUCCAGCCAUCCCGCGUGUAUGAUGAAGGCCUUCGGGUUGUAAAGUACUUUUGGCAGAGAAGAAAAGGUAUCUCCUAAUACGGGAUACUGCUGACGGUAUCUGCAGAAUAAGCACCGGCUAACUACGUGCCAGCAGCCGCGGUAAUACGUAGGGUGCAAGCGUUAAUCGGAAUUACUGGGCGUAAAGCGUGUGUAGGCGGUUCGGAAAGAAAGAUGUGAAAUCCCAGGGCUCAACCUUGGAACUGCAUUUUUAACUGCCGAGCUAGAGUAUGUCAGAGGGGGGUAGAAUUCCACGUGUAGCAGUGAAAUGCGUAGAUAUGUGGAGGAAUACCGAUGGCGAAGGCAGCCCCCUGGGAUAAUACUGACGCUCAGACACGAAAGCGUGGGGAGCAAACAGGAUUAGAUACCCUGGUAGUCCACGCCGUAAACGGUGGAUGCUGGAUGUGGGGCCCGUUCCACGGGUUCCGUGUCGGAGCUAACGCGUUAAGCAUCCCGCCUGGGGAGUACGGCCGCAAGGCUAAAACUCAAAGAAAUUGACGGGGGCCCGCACAAGCGGCGGAGCAUGCGGAUUAAUUCGAUGCAACGCGAAGAACCUUACCUGGGCUUGACAUGUUCCCGACCGCUCCAGAGAUGGGGCUUCCCUUCGGGGCGGGUUCACAGGUGGUGCAUGGUCGUCGUCAGCUCGUGUCGUGAGAUGUUGGGUUAAGUCCCGCAACGAGCGCAACCCUCGCCCUGUGUUGCCAGCACGUCAUGGUGGGAACUCACGGGGGACCGCCGGGGUCAACUCGGAGGAAGGUGGGGAUGACGUCAGAUCAUCAUGCCCCUUACGUCCAGGGCUUCACGCAUGCUACAAUGGCCGGUACAACGGGAUGCGACACGGCGACGUGGAGCGGAUCCCUGAAAACCGGUCUCAGUUCGGAUUGGAGUCUGCAACCCGACUCCAUGAAGGCGGAGUCGCUAGUAAUCGCGGAUCAGCAACGCCGCGGUGAAUGCUCCCCGGC